GCUUCGGGGUUAUUUACAUAAGCUACCAAUUACUAUUAUUUAUUUAUUAUUUUUUUUAACCAAUUUUCAAACAAAUUUGGCUCCACAAAUAUUGAUUUAUCCUUUAAAAAAACAAAGUAAAAGCACAGCAAAGUUUUAUAAUUACAAUUGACCCCGGGUGUACUGACCAGCAGAACAGCAGCAACAGACAGAGAGGCAAGAGACUGCAGAUUGGUGCCAUGUGCAUACUCUCGGAUUUUAUUCAGGUUUCUUAGGAAGAUUCUGUUUGGGAUUACAAAAUGCACUGGUAGAAACAGCAGAGCGAUAGAGAAGUCAUAGCCAGAGUAUUGGUGCAUCAGAAUCAGGCAUCUCCGUUCCAGCUUCACAUUCGGGUUUAUUUUCAUGUAGUGUUUUGAAACUUGUUGACAUCUUGUAGUUUGAACCAUUUCAAUAACAGUUAUGUAUAUAAAUAUCUCAAACAAACUUCCAUUCAUUUACCAAAGUUUUUUUUUGUUUUAAAUAGAAGAAAAAAAAAAACACAUUGCCUUAAAAACAUCUAUAUAUAUUUUUUCUUUUCCUGAAGAUGACAUUAUAACCCAUAUAGUGGCAUGCACAUUGCACAUGCAGUUUGCCAGCAAGAAAGCUGUCGACAGGAUGGUGAAGAGACAUUCUGAAGCCCUCGCACACGGACAACUGCCAUUGUUCUGAAACCGAAGAAUAACCGCCGACCCCCCCCCAAAAAAAUACAUACAUAAAUAAAUAAAUACUGACCAAAUAAUACAGAAUCAACUGUAGCUUUACAUCUCCUGCAACUGUUUCCAUUGUUGUAUAUAUUUUUAAAUGUGCACAGCAUUGUCCGACUCGACUAAAGACUGUUUUUCAAUAAUUGCUGGACUGGAGAGGGGGGUGUCGGUAUUAGUAACUUUUAUAUGCAUGUAACGGUUGAUGUAACGGGGGUUAGGGUGGAUGUUUUGCAAAGGCAGAGUGUUUCCUCAUGCAUCAGGAGUUUAUUUUAGUGCUGCUUUGUACAGCAACUUGAUACGCUUUAAAGACACUGAGUGUGUUUUUGUUUAUAUCGGCUUGGCAGAUUAAUGAAAUUGAAAAACAGUCUCCAGCCCUCUGAGACCCCACUGAACAGUUUCUCCCACAGAUGCUCCAAACCCCCACGAGGGACUAGUGUGGGACAGCAAACAGAAGGGAACACAAGCCAAUUCUUAGACCAGGGGGCCAAGACAUAGAUUCUCAUUUUAAUUCUGGUUUUGUGCAGUUACCCUUGGUCAGGCAGUGGCAGCCAGUUAAAACUGCUGAGAAAGAAGAGGAUUGCUGUGUGUAUACAUCUGUUUGUUUUUAAAAGGAGAUUUGUUUUUACCAUGUUAUUGUGAUAAUAGAUUAUUAUUAUUAUUUUUUACUGUUUCUAGCUUUUAGAACUGCCAUGACAUUAUUUAUUAACGACAUGCUCUCGUUUCCUCCAUACCAGGAUUUGCAACUGUUUUAUAAACCUUUCUUUUGUAUUUAUGUAUUCUUAUUGGUUUUAUUCUUGUGUUUUGUGUUUUUUUUAGGUUUGAUUUUGAGUGUAGGGGCCUGACUGGGAGAGCGGUAUGAUGCAAGAGCUGGACAGUCGUUGGCUUGGCUCCCUCAUGAUGAGAGCAGGUAAGCGCAUUAA